AACAAUUCCGCAUGCGACUCCCUGAGCACCCUGCCGCUGUAAACACGACUCAGGGGAAUCGCAAGUCACAUUUUAAAAGUAAUUGCAUCGCAAAUCAGCAAACUUUAAGUAAACUCCACCAUCCCCUGCCCUUCAAUCACAUAUCACAAAUUAGCGUACAAAAACAGAGAAGUGCUGGAGAAACUCAGCAGAUCUAGCAGCAUCACCUGUGGAGAGAGAGAGAGAGAAACGUUAACAGAGUUAACGUUCCGAGUUCAGUGACCCCCUCUCAGAACAUGAACAAAUUAGCAAUUCAUGUUAAAAUACUCUAGAGUUUACGCCGACUUGAGACUGAUUCUUCGGCGUGAUCCUCCUGGAAUUUUACAGUGCUAACAAUGGAAUGGAAUUGUUUGUUUUUUUUUAUUUUGAGAACUGGAUAAUUUGUGCAUGAAUCCUUACAGGGAACCGUCCUUCUACCUGUUUCCGAAGCAACGCAUCUAAUAGGAAAUAAAAAAAACAUCAACUUGCAGCGCGUAAGCCACUAAGAGGGAAUCAACUGUAGGAUCUCUUUCUGCACACGUGUAAUAUUGAAUAAGUGUGAAGAAUAUCAAAAAGAGUAGGAGGCAUCUCUGGCUAGAUCCGCCUUAAUUGCCAAUACCUACUUGUCUAGAAAACUGCGAGAGGCAACCACAUCGUUGUUGUCUAGAGUGGGUCAGGCCAAGGUUAGCCCAUCAACUGGGUUCCUCAAUUAGAAGAAAUGGAAUUAUUUAAAGAGAACAUUUACUCAGCUGUCAAUUCAUCCUUUCUAAUUUUAAUAAAGGGAGCAUUUGCUCUUCAUUGUGGUGUUCUAACCAAGCUUUGGCUCAAGUUGAUGUUUUAACAGCAAUAAAACAGCAAAGAGAUGUUUUAAAAUGACAUCAGGUACAUGGGAACACCACCAGCUUCCAAGGUCCC